rnacentral:lncRNA from 1 species
UAGCAUCUCCAUAUACCUCCGAUGAAGCCGUUGGCUUUCGUUCUUCGCCUCUCGGUGCCUCUUUCUCAGGACCUCGAAUUCUGCCUCCGCGUCCUUGACUGCCUGCUGCUCGUAUACCAGCUGGAUCUUCAAUUACUGCAGCUCGGCCUUCCCCUCUCCAAGGGCGACGGAUAGCUCUUCUACGGUUCUUCUCAGGGAUUAGAGUUCGUCGGGAUCCCAAACAGGAGCAAACGGAGCUCCUUCAGAUAACUGCCUUCG